rnacentral:lncRNA from 1 species
AUUAUGUUUAAGUUUUGAGAUAUUCAAUUGGAAUACAAUGGUGGUUUUAUUAUAAUCACACAUCUUCAUUUCCGUCUUUCUUCAGUAUUAUAUGUUUUAAGAAAAUUGUAACUGUAAGUUCCUCGUGCAAGUUUACUUGGUGUCAUUUGUUUUUACUUAUAUCUCAUUCAUAGAUCAGUUGGUAUAGAUUUGACUAACAAAUGCUAAAAAACAAGACUGUUCUUUAUCAGAUAAUUUGAGUAAGAUAUUGAUUCUUACCUCAUUGUUUUCUCUUCACCUUAUAAUUGUCCAUCCCAUAGUAAGAUAUUGCUAGCUGUAUCCUAGAAUUUGAUUAAGGUUUAUUAAGUGGUGUAUUUUCUGACUUUUUGGUAUGAUAUUUCUGUGCCCCGUGCAGGUGUAACCCAACCAUUGUGUGGGUUACUAUUGUACUCUCAAGGAAGAGGACCUGUAUUGGUCGCGCAAAGCCAUCCAGUUGAGAAGCUUAUUAAAAAUUAUAUAUCAUUCUACAAGAACA